rnacentral:rRNA from 1 species
AGUGAACGCUGGCGGCGUGCCUAAUACAUGCAAGUCGAACGGAGUGGCUCACGGGUGAGUAAUGCAUAGCUAAUCUGUCCUACACUAGAGGACGACAGUUGGAAACGGCUGCUAAUACUCUAUAGUUUAGGAUGAGGCUAUAUUGUAUCAGCUAGUUGGUGAGGUAAUGGCUCGCCCAGGGUAUGACGCAUAACUGGUCUGAGAGGAUGAUCAGUAAAGGGUGAACUGCGACACGGUCCUGACUCCGACCAGAGGCAUCAGGAGGAGAUAUUGCUCAAGGGGGUUAGCCCUGAAUCAGCACAGCCGCGUGGACCCUACCACUAUUAGAAGCAUAAACACCUAUGGUUAGGGAAGCGCUAACUGCAUAAUAACCACCGGCAAACUGCGUCCCUGCCGCCGCGGUAAUUC